CUGGAGGUAUCAGAAGUGCGAAUGCUGACAUAAGUAACGAUAAAGCGGGUGAAAAGCCCGCUCGCCGGAAGACCAAGGGUUCCUGUCCAACGUUAAUCGGGGCAGGGUGAGUCGACCCCUAAGGCGAGGCCGAAAGGCGUAGUCGAUGGGAAACAGGUUAAUAUUCCUGUACUUGGUGUUACUGCGAAGGGGGGACGGAGAAGGCUAUGUUGGCCGGGCGACGGUUGUCCCGGUUUAAGCGUGUAGGCUGGUUUUCCAGGCAAAUCCGGAAAAUCAAGGCUGAGGCGUGAUGACGAGGCACUACGGUGCUGAAGCAACAAAUGCCCUGCUUCCAGGAAAAGCCUCUAAGCAUCAGGUAACAUCAAAUCGUACCCCAAACCGACACAGGUGGUCAGGUAGAGAAUACCAAGGCGCUUGAGAGAACUCGGGUGAAGGAACUAGGCAAAAUGGUGCCGUAACUUCGGGAGAAGGCACGCUGAUAUGUAGGUGAAGUCCCUCGCGGAUGGAGCUGAAAUCAGUCGAAGAUACCAGCUGGCUGCAACUGUUUAUUAAAAACACAGCACUGUGCAAACACGAAAGUGGACGUAUACGGUGUGACGCCUGCCCGGUGCCGGAAGGUUAAUUGAUGGGGUUAGCGCAAGCGAAGCUCUUGAUCGAAGCCCCGGUAAACGGCGGCCGUAACUAUAACGGUCCUAAGGUAGCGAAAUUCCUUGUCGGGUAAGUUCCGACCUGCACGAAUGGCGUAAUGAUGGCCAGGCUGUCUCCACCCGAGACUCAGUGAAAUUGAACUCGCUGUGAAGAUGCAGUGUACCCGCGGCAAGACGGAAAGACCCCGUGAACCUUUACUAUAGCUUGACACUGAACAUUGAGCCUUGAUGUGUAGGAUAGGUGGGAGGCUUUGAAGUGUGGACGCCAGUCUGCAUGGAGCCGACCUUGAAAUACCACCCUUUAAUGUUUGAUGUUCUAACGUUGACCCGUGAUCCGGGUUGCGGACAGUGUCUGGUGGGUAGUUUGACUGGGGCGGUCUCCUCCUAAAGAGUAACGGAGGAGCACGAAGGUUGGCUAAUCCUGGUCGGACAUCAGGAGGUUAGUGCAAUGGCAUAAGCCAGCUUGACUGCGAGCGUGACGGCGCGAGCAGGUGCGAAAGCAGGUCAUAGUGAUCCGGUGGUUCUGAAUGGAAGGGCCAUCGCUCAACGGAUAAAAGGUACUCCGGGGAUAACAGGCUGAUACCGCCCAAGAGUUCAUAUCGACGGCGGUGUUUGGCACCUCGAUGUCGGCUCAUCACAUCCUGGGGCUGAAGUAGGUCCCAAGGGUAUGGCUGUUCGCCAUUUAAAGUGGUACGCGAGCUGGGUUUAGAACGUCGUGAGACAGUUCGGUCCCUAUCUGCCGUGGGCGCUGGAGAAUUGAGGGGGGCUGCUCCUAGUACGAGAGGACCGGAGUGGACGCAUCACUGGUGUUCGGGUUGUCAUGCCAAUGGCACUGCCCGGUAGCUAAAUGCGGAAGAGAUAAGUGCUGAAAGCAUCUAAGCACGAAACUUGCCCCGAGAUGAGUUCUCCCUGACUCCUUGAGAGUCCUGAAGGAACGUUGAAGACGACGACGUUGAUAGGCCGGGUGUGUAAGCGCAGCGAUGCGUUGAGCUAACCGGUACUAAUGAACCGUGAGGCUUAACCUU
rnacentral:rRNA from 1 species